rnacentral:rRNA from 1 species
UACGUAGGGGGCUAGCGUUGUCCGGAUUUAUUGGGCGUAAAGAGCGUGUAGGCGGCCAGGUAGGUCUGCUGUGAAAACUCGAGGCUCAACCUCGAGACGUCGGCGGAAACCAUCUGGCUAGAGUCCGGAAGAGGAGAGUGGAAUUCCUGGUGUAGCGGUGAAAUGCGCAGAUAUCAGGAAGAACACCCGUGGCGAAGGCGGCUGCCUGGCCUAACACUGACGCUGAGGUGCGAAAGCGUGGGGAGCAAACAGG